rnacentral:rRNA from 1 species
UACGUAGGGGGCUAGCGUUGUCCGGAAUCAUUGGGCGUAAAGAGCGUGUAGGCGGCCCGGUAAGUCCGCUGUGAAAGUCGGGGGCUCAACCCUCGAAUGCCGGUGGAUACUGUCGGGCUAGAGUGCGGAAGAGGCGAGUGGAAUUCCUGGUGUAGCGGUGGAAUGCGCAGAUAUCAGGAGGAACACCGAUUGCGAAGGCAGCUCGCUGGGACGUAACUGACGCUGAGACGCGAAAGCGUGGGGAGCAAACAGG